UACGGAGGAUGCAAGCGUUAUCCGGAAUGAUUGGGCGUAAAGCGUCCGUAGGUGGCUGUGUAAGUCUGCUGUCAAAGAGCAAAGCUCAACUUUGUAAAGGCAGUGGAAACUACACGGCUAGAGUGCGUUCGGGGCAGAGGGAAUUCCUGGUGUAGCGGUGAAGUGCGUAGAGAUCAGGAAGAACACCGGUGGCGAAGGCGCUCUGCUAGGCCGCAACUGACACUGAGGGACGAAAGCUAGGGGAGCGAAUGGG
rnacentral:rRNA from 1 species